GUGCCAGCAGCCGCGGUAAUACGGAGGGCGCGAGCGUUACCCGGAUUUACUGGGCGUAAAGGGCGUGUAGGCGGCCUGGGGCGUCCCAUGUGAAAGGUCACGGCUCAACCGUGGAGGAGCGUGGGAUACGCUCAGGCUAGAGGGUGGGAGAGGGUGGUGGAAUUCCCGGAGUAGCGGUGAAAUGCGCAGAUACCGGGAGGAACGCCGAUGGCGAAGGCAGCCACCUGGUCCACUUCUGACGCUGAGGCGCGAAAGCGUGGGGAGCAAACCGGAUUAGAUACCCGGGUAGUCCACGCCCUAAACGAUGCGCGCUAGGUCUUUGGGGUUUACCUGGGAGCCGAAGCCAACGCGUUAAGCGCGCCGCCUGGGGAGUACGGCCGCAAGGCUGAAACUCAAAGGAAUUGACGGGGGCCCGCACAAGCGGUGGAGCAUGUGGUUUAAUUCGAAGCAACGCGAAGAACCUUACCAGGCCUUGACAUGCUGGGGAACCUGGGUGAAAGCCUGGGGUGCCCGUGAGGGAGCCCUAGCACAGGUGCUGCAUGGCCGUCGUCAGCUCGUGUCGUGAGAUGUUGGGUUAAGUCCCGCAACGAGCGCAACCCCCGCCCUUAGUUGCCAGCGGGUUGGGCCGGGCACUCUAAGGGGACUGCCUGCGAAAGCAGGAGGAAGGCGGGGACGACGUCUGGUCAUCAUGGCCCUUACGGCCUGGGCGACACACGUGCUACAAUGCCCACUACAGAGCGAGGCGACCCAGUGAUGGGGAGCGAAUCGCAAAAAGGUGGGCGUAGUUCGGAUUGGGGUCUGCAACCCGACCCCAUGAAGCCGGAAUCGCUAGUAAUCGCGGAUCAGCCAUGCCGCGGUGAAUACGUUCCCGGGCCUUGUACACACCGCCCGUCACGCCAUGGGAGCGGGUUCUACCCGAAGUCGCCGGGAGCCUUAGGGCAGGCGCCGAGGGUAGGGCUCGUGACUGGGGCGAAGUCGUAACAAGGUAACCGU
rnacentral:rRNA from 1 species